GAUGAACGCUGGCGGCGUGCCUAAUACAUGCAAGUCGAGCGAACGGACGAGAAGCUUGCUUCUCUGAUGUUAGCGGCGGACGGGUGAGUAACACGUGGAUAACCUACCUAUAAGACUGGGAUAACUUCGGGAAACCGUAGCUAAUACCGGAUAAUAUUUUGAACCGCAUGGUUCAAAAGUGAAAGACGGUCUUGCUGUCACUUAUAGAUGGAUCCGCGCUGCAUUAGCUAGUUGGUGAGGUAACGGCUUACCAAGGCAACGAUGCAUAGCCGACCUGAGAGGGUGAUCGGCCACACUGGAACUGAGACACGGUCCAGACUCCUACGGGAGGCAGCAGUAGGGAAUCUUCCGCAAUGGGCGAAAGCCUGACGGAGCAACGCCGCGUGAGUGAUGAAGGUCUUCGGAUCGUAAAACUCUGUUAUUAGGGAAGAACAUAUGUGUAAGUAACUGUGCACAUCUUGACGGUACCGAAUCAGAAAGCCACGGCUAACUACGUG
rnacentral:rRNA from 1 species